AGACGGCGGAGUUCAGUACAGCGGCAGCGAUGGCCGCGGCGUUUCCAAACCAGAAACCGAAUUUCUUCUUUUAAAGUUGCUGCUGGGGAAAGUCGUCACGUUGGCUUGACUGCACAAAUGUACGAGGGUUGCUCCGAAAGUAAUGCUUCCUGCUUUCUUACGUUGACCCACGGCGCCAGGGGCAGAUGUUGGUGGUUCGGCGGUAGAGGUCGAACCUUUACACCAGCACCCCGUUACACGCUGUUGCCGUGUGACAGAGGGCAGCAGAAGGGCUCUCUGACAGGAUGGUGCCUGACACAGAGCUCUCAUACCCGACUCCACACAGCAGAGAAGGCUCUGCUUCUUCUAAUUAAGAAGAGAAUUUUGAAAUAUCUGCUGAAUUCUUGACCUUCAGAAUUCCCUCUGCCAGUGUUCCUCUGAUCUGGGCUCUCAAGGGCUUCCACUGUUCGUGUGAAAAUAGAGCAUCCCCUCAGUCCUGAGGCUCGACCAGAAGAGGUGAAGUUAGCAUCUGUGCUCCCUGAGUGUCCUUGUUGAGUAGGUCCGUGUUCCUUUGGUUCAUCAGCAAGGAGCCACCUGCAUCACAUGGACCUGUUGGUGUGCAUCCAGAGGAGUGCCACAAAAGUGAUCCAUGGGAUGGAACACCUUCCCUACGAGGACAGGCUGAGAAAGCCAGGGCUGCUCAUUCUGGAGAAGAGAAGGCUCCAGGGAAGCCUGAGAGUGGCCCUAAAGAGGGCUGUUAGAAAGAAGAGGACAGACUCUUUAGAAGGGUCCCUUGUGAUAAGACAAGGGAAAAUGGUUUCAAAUUAAAAGGGGAAAAUUGUAUAUAAGGCAGAAGUUUUUUACAAUAAGAGUGGUGAGGCACUGGCACAGGUUGCCCAGAGAAGCGGUGGGUACCCCAUCCCUGGAGACAUCCAAGGUCAGGCUGGAGGAGCUCUGAGCACCCGGAUGUAGCUGUGGGUGUCCCUGUUCAUUGCAGUAAGGUUGGCCUAGAUGGCCUUUAAAAGUCCCUUCCAACUGAAAUAAUUCUAUGAUCACGUGUAGCCCAGCAAAGAGAAAGGUGUUUCCUGCUUGCCCUUUGUCAGUGAAUCCUGGCAGGAUGGAUGUUAUGCUGGGAUGCUGCAGACCUGCAGCUUGGAGGAGACAGAGGUCAGAGGAGAUAGAUGGAGGCUAAGAGCUGCGAGUCAAAACCUUCAAAGCUGAAGUCCCCACUCUGCCUGCUGGAGAACAGAGUCUGUAAAACUGCAGGGAGGGCUGCUCUGCAGGGCUGGGGGCAGGCCCACUGUCCUUCCCCAACUGCUCACAGGGACUGCAUUCCCUUCAUCUCCAUGAGCUGCUUAUAAAUGCCUUAGCGGUGUAUUUCCCUUUAUCUGAGAAGAGGGAAAGAAGCAGUGUUAUUCUGCUCCUUUCCUUUCAGUCCUUUGCAGUUCACACCUGUCUCAUCUACUGUUUUUUUCCUUCCCUUUUGCUGCGGCGUGAGGCUCUGCGGCAUGGUGAUAGGACAGAAGAAAUCUUCCUGAGAAAUGUGAAACAGGGCCACACAAACUGAAUAUUGUGUUCCAGGCCUAAGACAGAGCAGCUGGGGAAGGGACCGUGCUCCAGGCUGCCCUGCAGCCCUGGUCGUCUCAGAUGGCUUCUCAGGGUGUUGGGUGGGGAUGGCCCUUUGUGUAGGCGAUCCCUAGAGGUGUGCUGACUGCACUGGGUGGAUUUCGGCACAGAAAUCUGAAUUGACUUAUUUCUGACCAACCCAAGGGACUUUGUCACCCUUUGAGGAAGGCUGAGAACAUCGGCUGGAGGACUGGUAGGUAGUAGAAGAGCUUCAGGGCACCUAUGGGCCUGGAAGUAAAUACCCAGGGUCACUCCACUUGUUAAUAUUGGUGUGUACUUCAGAGAAUCCACAGCUCUUCAUGAACACACAGCAGCUCUUCAGAGCUCUUUCAACGCCUUUCUGCCUCCUAUGACCAGCAAGGGUGCUGGUGUCUUGUCUUGGAGGAACUGCUGCAGAGAUCCAUUCCCUUUCUGCCUCUUGAUAUUCAUUUUACAUUAGCGUGUGAGUACCCACUCUAUACAAAUCUUUGGGUGGUUCUGCUGAAGAUGUUUCCAUGCUGUGCAGCACCGAAGAUGUUUUACUGCUGCUUCCCACGCUUAUCAAGAACUGAAGCCAAUAGUGAUUGUCUAAUCACUCAUACGCCCUCUCUGUUCUGCAACAGCGUUGUCAGAGUUUUCUAUCUAUGGCAAUUCUUUUGUUUGUUUCAUUUUUCCUGAUGUCUAUGCUGAGUUAGUUUUAGGAACAAAAGUCUGCUUUUAAUCAGUAUCCUAAAAAAUAAGUUUUUCCUGGAAGUAACUCAAGGAAUGGUAUCACUGGCGUCACUAGCUCCUUGAGACAAGCCUUCAGCUGCUGUGAAACACAAAGAUCUGCUGGCUCUCCUGCAGAGUUCCAGGCAUGUAGAUAAUGUAUGUUUUGCUUGUUCCAGGCAGCCCAGCCGCCCUUCAACACGCAAGGGUUCAUGUGUGGAGUGGGCAGUACCAUUCUGAGUGUGAGCUUCAUGUAAAUGCUUUAACAAUAUAUACCCUUUUAUCUGAAAAAAGGUAAAAACAAUCUUAUUCACCUGCUUUUUAUGAAUUUCAUGAAUGCUUUUCCUUCUACCAAUCCAUAUGGGUACAGCCAGCUUGUGAUUUUU
ensembl:lncRNA